UCACUGGCGCGAGGGUGACAGCCGGCCACGGCCGGCCACACGCGAUCGGUCGCCAUUUUUCGUCCACGGUUUUUCGAUACACAAAUGGACGAAUUGGUUGUGCAACUUCAAGAGAUUUCCCCACGUGCUCAAGAACAUGUCGACGUGAAACAGUCAUCGGAAAAUUGGCAUGACAGAAAUGAACGCAACGAGUGCCACCAUGAGGAGAUGCUGAAAUUUGCUGUGGCCUUGGCACUGUUCAAAACGUACCUUUGGCCAACAUGGACUUCCUGUAAGGCUAAAAGUUGUCUAUGGGGUAAGACGAACAUGGAAACAAGAGGCAGCUGUAGUAAAAAAAAAUGAUUGGUGGGUAUGGGUACAUGUAGAACUGGAGCCAGACAGUGCAUGGGAAGGCUUCUAUUGUGGCAUCCUUUCAAGCUGAGCCAGCCACUUUCUCUGACAGAAGGUGGCAAAAUCUUUAAAUGGGCCUCUGCUGACUUUCUUUAAACAUUCUGCAUUGUUUAUAUAAUUUUACUUAUUUUGCAUCCUACACCAAUCAGAUGCUUCCUUUAUUAUGUUUGCAUGCAUUAUUUAUGCAAAUCAUAAUGUUAGAAAACAUGUUAGAAACAAGCAAAAAUUGGUUAGCCCCCUUCAAACUAAGAUUAGCUACAUGUAGUAGAAAACAACUGUGAAAUUCAUCCUUUCCUGUUUUUAACCCAACCAUGUACCAUCAAAUUCAGAUUCAAUCAGGUUUGUAUGGGCAGUAAAGGCAGAGCUAAAAAAAAUACCCAUUGUAAAGCUAUGGAAAUUUUCUAGAAUUGUAAACUAUGUUGUUAUGAGUCCAUUUGAAGAAAAUCUUUUGCAUUAAAAUUCUUUGAAUCUAAGUAAAAGUUUGCUCUAACUUUAAGUCACUCCUGUUGUUUUAGAGGGGUCUAAGUCUCCAGCCAGGUACAUGUAUGUUGCACUUUAUCUUUGUUUCCCUGUACUAAAAAGGAAAUGACCAGUUUGCUUAAACCUUGAACAAUAAGAAUUUUCUUUUUUCGAAAAAAAAAAUGGAUUUUCAGCAAGAAAGAUGUUUUCCUAUGUUUGGUAUUCUGCAUUAGCACACAACUUAUUUUCAAGUUCCACUUUAGCAUUUUACUUAGGCAUGGGACUUUUAUCUAGAUUAGCUGUUUCCUAAUUUUCUUUGUCACUUUUCUGCCAUUUGAAUUUGUGAAAAACUGCACAGAUUCUUGUUAAGAACCGUCUUUAUUUCUUUAUUCUUUUAUUCACAAGUUGAAUAACUAUGCACUUGUAAUUAUGUUAUUGCAUGGUAUCCCUAUUUUUGCAUGAGAAGUAUUGUGAAAAUACUCAAAAGCGGUAUUGCCAAACAUUAAGACUUGAGGUUUUGCUUGGUAGACAGAGAUGGUUGGUAUAUUUGUCAUUUGUGGAAGCACUAUUCAGAAAUCUCUGUUAUGACAAGAUACAUGCUAAGGUUUUUGUAAAGAACUGCUUAGGUGACCUCAAUGGCCAGAAUACAUUAGCUGAAACGUUGAACUUCACCUUAAGGUUCCUUUUAGUACACGUACAUGUACCUCUUUAAAACAGAUUUCCACUCGGUGCUCUCCACAUGUACCUACCUAUAUCACUUAUAAUUGGAUCUCAUGGCCUCGGGUGCUCACCUGUUCAGAUG
rnacentral:lncRNA from 1 species